ACCAUAACCACUGAACUUUUUCAAGCUGUCCAAUUUCCUUCCUAUCUUGCAUAUCCCUGUUUGAAGGUGAACUUGUGGUAGAUAAAGACUUCAGAAUCAUCAGCUUGUGAUCAAUAAAUGGAUCGAUUGGAAACACAAAGGAAAUGCUGAGAAGACUCACAUGAUGUAAUCAUUUCAAAUCAUUCAGCAGGAUCAAUUCAAAGAGGAG
rnacentral:lncRNA from 1 species